CAGUAGCCGCGGUAAUACGUAGGUGGCAAGCGUUGUCCGGAAUUAUUGGGCGUAAAGGGCUCGCAGGCGGUUUCUUAAGUCUGAUGCGAAAGCCCCCGGCUCAACCGGGGAAGGUCAUUGGAAACUGGGAAACUUGAGUGCAGAAGAGGAGAGUGGAAUUCCACGUGUAGCGGUGAAAUGCGUAGAGAUGUGGAGGAACACCAGUGGCGAAGGCGACUCUCUGGUCUGUAACUGACGCUGAGGAGCGAAAGCGUGGGGAGCAAACAGGAUUAGAUACCCGCGUAGUCCCUGUCUCUUAUAC
rnacentral:rRNA from 1 species